AUGAAUAUCAAAGAACCCUAAUUCAGAUUCCAAUCAAACCCCCAGCCGGUGACGAGACGCUUCGGUCGGCAAACCAACGCUUCGGUCGGCAAACAAACGUUUCGGUCGCUAUCGGAGAUACGACCAGCUGGUGACGAGAUUUCGCCGGUUAAGUUUCGGUGGCUGUUGUGCUAGCUCUGAAAUCGACCCAUCAAUCCGGAUUUCUUCUCGUCGCCAUCGGAGAGAAACAAGAUAGAAAGGAGAGAAAGAGAGAAGAGAGAGAAAGUGAGAAAGAGAUUUCAU
rnacentral:lncRNA from 1 species